rnacentral:rRNA from 1 species
GUCUAUGGCCAUACCACCCUGCACGUGCCCGAUCUCAUCUGAUCUCAGAAGCUAAGCAGGGUCGGGGCUGGUUAGUCCUUGGAUGGGAGAUGCUUGUCUUGUGUU